rnacentral:rRNA from 1 species
CCUACGGGUGGCAGCAGUGAGGAAUAUUGGUCAAUGGACGCAAGUCUGAACCAGCCAAGUAGCGUGCAGGAUGACGGCCCUCCGGGUUGUAAACUGCUUUUAGUUGGGAAUAAAAGGUGGCUCGUGAGCCCCGUCUUGUAUGUACCAUCAGCAAAAGGACCGCCUAAUUCCGUGCCGGCAGCCGCGGUAAUACGGCAGGUCCGGGCGUUAUCCGGAUUUAUUGGGUUAAAAGGGAGCGUAGGCCGGCUUUUAAGUCAGCUGUGAAAGUCCGCGGCUAAACCGUGGAAUUGCAGUUGAAACUGGAGGCCUUGAGUGCGCACAGGGGUGCAGGAAUUCAUGGUGUGGCGGUGAAAUGCUUAGAUAUC